rnacentral:rRNA from 1 species
GACGAAGGGGGCAAGCGUUGUUCGGAAUUACUGGGCGUAAAGCGAGUGUAGGUGGUUGUCGUAGUCAGGCGUGAAAGCCUUGGCUCAACUCAAGAAAUGCGCUUGAUACUGGGCAGCUAGAGGACCGGAGAGGAUAGUGGAAUUCCCAGUGUAGUGGUGAAAUACGUAGAGAUUGGGAAGAACACCAGUGGCGAAGGCGGCUAU